CCUACGGGGUGCAGCAGUGAGGAAUAUUGGUCAAUGGGCGCGAGCCUGACCCAGCCAAGUCGCGUGAGGGAAGACGGUCCUAUGGAUUGUAAACCUCUUUUGUCGGGGAGCAAAAGACGCCACGCGUGGCGUUCCGAGAGUACCCGAAGAAAAAGCAUCGGCUAACUCCGUGCCAGCAGCCGCGGUAAUACGGGGGAUGCGAGCGUUAUCCGGAUUUAUUGGGUUUAACGGGUGCGCAGGCGGAAUAUCAAGUCAGCGGUAAAAUUGAGAGGCUCAACCUCGUCGCGCCGUUGAAACUGGUUUGCUUGAGUGAGCGAGAAGUAUGCGGAAUGCGUGGUGUAGCGGUGAAAUGCAUAGAUAUCACGCAGAACUCCGAUUGCGAAGGCAGCAUACCGGCGCUCAACUGACGCUGAUGCACGAAAGUGUGGGUAUCGAACAGGAUUAGAUACCCGAGUAGUC
rnacentral:rRNA from 1 species